GACGAACGCUGGCGGCGUGCUUAACACAUGCAAGUCGAACGGAAAGGCCCUGCUUUUGUGGGGUGCUCGAGUGGCGAACGGGUGAGUAACACGUGAGUAACCUGCCCUUGACUUUGGGAUAACUUCAGGAAACUGGGGCUAAUACCGGAUAGGAGCUCCUGCUGCAUGGUGGGGGUUGGAAAGUUUCGGCGGGUGGGGAUGGACUCGCGGCUUAUCAGCUUGUUGGUGGGGUAGUGGCUUACCAAGGGUUUGACGGGUAGCCGGCCUGAGAGGGUGAACGGCCACAUUGGGACUGAGAUACGGCCCAGACUCCUACGGGAGGCAGCAGUGGGGAAUAUUGCACAAUGGGCGGAAGCCUGAUGCAGCAACGCCGCGUGCGGGAUGACGGCCUUCGGGUUGUAAACCGCUUUCGCCUGUGACGAAGCGUGAGUGACGGUAAUGGGUAAAGAAGCACCGGCUAACUACGUG
rnacentral:rRNA from 1 species